ACAGAGGCCUCAAGCGUUGUUCGGAAUUACUGGGCGUAAAGGGAGUGUAGGUGGUGAUGCAAGUCAGAUGUGAAAGCCCUGGGCUUAACCCGGGAACUGCAUUUGAUACUGCGUUGCUGGAGUGCAAGAGAGGAAAGAGGAAUUCCCGGUGUAGAGGUGAAAUUCGUAGAUAUCGGGAGGAACACCAGUGGCGAAGGCGGCCACCUGGACGGUAACUGACGCUGAGGCGCGAAAGCGUGGGGAGCAAACA
rnacentral:rRNA from 1 species